rnacentral:rRNA from 1 species
UAUUGGUCAAUGGGCGGGAGCCUGAACCAGCCAAGUCGCGUGAGGGAGUAAGGCCCUACGGGUCGUAAACCUCUUUUGCCGGGGAGCAGGGCGGCGGACGUGUCCGCCGUUUGAGAGUACCCGGAGAAAAAGCAUCGGCUAACUCCGUGCCAGCAGCCGCGGUAAUACGGAGGGUGCGAGCGUUAUCCGGAUUUAUUGGGUUUAAAGGGUGCGUAGGCGGAAUGCCAAGUCAGCGGUAAAAUCGCGGGGCUCAACCUCGCUCCGCCGUUGAAACUGGCGUUCUUGAGUGGGCGAGAAGUAUGCGGAAUGCGUGGUGUAGCGGUGAAAUGCAUAGAUAUCACGCAGAACUCCGAUUGCGAAGGCAGCAUACCGGCGCCCAACUGACGCUGAAGCACGAAAGCGUGUGUAUCGA